rnacentral:lncRNA from 1 species
UGUGAGUUUGGAUACAAAUAUAUACCAAAUGUGACACAUGUCCCAACCGUGGACAACACCUCACAGUGACACCUUACAUAAAGGUAUAGUCAAAGACUGUUUUAGAAACUAAAAUCUUUGGGAAGUGCUCAAGGAAACCUUCGUACAUGGGAGACCAUGCGUCUAGGUUAUGAUAGAUAUCAUAUGGCCACAGAAUUAUCCUUGGUUGACCCAAUAGACCCCAAAGAAAAACAAGAAGAUUACUAUCAUAUUCUUCCCAAUGGUAAGUCUUCUCUUGACAUAUCAUUAUCUCCACUAUCUCUAAUUGAGAAUUAUACUUCAAAUAAACACCAAGAUACGUAUAUAGGGAGUGCUCGUAUAUAUACUCAGCAAGUGGAUGAGCACAUCCCUGUCUUAUGAUGAUACGUGGUUGAAUGUCAUUAGACAUCUUGUAUGAUAGUGACAAAACACCCUUCCAACGUUGGGUUUGCCUCACCCUCAACAGCUAUAGACC